UCUGAGGUAGCACCAUCCUUGUGGUUUGAGUUGAACAAUGGGGGUAUUGAGACCAAAAUGAACAAUGUGCCACUCUAGACAGCUGUGGACAAAAUAUGCAUUCAGAGUAUUUUCUCAAACAGAGAGAGAAUUCCAGGCCAAAAGGACUCAACAGAGACAACAUUGUCAGUACACAAAACAAAAAGUUGGAAUGAUUAAGAAAAAUGCAUGUUUCUAUACAUAUUUUAUGUGAAUUAAUCAUUAUUGACAGUAAUUGCACAAGUGUAAGUAAAAACUUUAAAAAAAUCCAACUGUUGAAUAUUUGAUUGUUAAAUGCUAAACGUUAAACUAAAGUGUACAUGGUCCAUGUUAAUGUUUUUAGUAUUUUUUUUUCAGCUGAGGAGCCAGAUGAGGAGCAACCAGUACAUCAAAGCAAAAAGAUGCUAUGAUAUUGUCUGAGGCACCUUAUUUUCCAUGUCCUUCACAAUCACAACUGCAGCACACCAGUCAAUUUCUGCCAUUCAGAAGAAUCAGAAAGAAAUCUUGGAUUGGAAAAUCAUUCUGAAAGUAGACUAAAUUCAGGACAACAUCACAGCAGUGGUCGGAAAAACAUCAGUCAAUGAGCAAGCCAAGCUAACUUUCCAAAGAUGAUUUGUUAUCUGUCUUCAGAGGGAAGGCAGCUUGGAGGAUGCUACAGCUACACAGGGAGAAUUUCAGCAGCUCAGUUUCAUACUUGCAACUAAUAAUGAAUAAUAGUUAGAAGACAGCGGAAAGAAUUGACAUCGCAGAGACACACACCAAGAGACACGCACACACACGCAGCUGAAGCGAGUUUGACUGACGCGCAUGGGAGAUCGGGCACCGUGCACGCACACACAAACAUGGAGCACAGCAUAAUUACAACUGUUGGAUUAAAAUAAAAGUACUUUGUGGUAUACAA